GCCAGGGGUGAUGGCACACAUCUGUAAUCCUAGCUACACAGGAGGCUGAGGCAGGAGGAUUGCAAGCUGAAGGCCAGCCUCAGUAACUUAGCAAAGCCCUAGGUCAUUUAGCAAGAACUUGUCUUAA
rnacentral:sRNA from 1 species